CUGCACAAACAAACAACUAAUUGAAGAUCAAGGCCAGAAAAGAAGAAAAUCUACUUGACAACCGUUACUGACACAAAAAGAUUAAUGUGCUUAACGAUGUUUGUAUAUAGAUUACAAAUUAUAUCAGAUUAUUUUUAAUGUAACCAACACCGGUCCCUACUUUUAUCCUUACUAGUCUUUUAAAAAAAUGUAGAAAGGCACAAGGUGGUGAAGGCAGAAUUGCCAAUCACAUAGAUUCUUGAAGAGAACACCAACUAGUACCCGUCUGAUAAAGUUACAUCGGACGUAUAACUAAUGAUACUGUUGCUACUUGCUAGUAAACCUU